UACAGAGGUCCCAAGCGUUGUUCGGAUUCAUUGGGCGUAAAGGGUGCGUAGGUGGCGCCGUAAGUCGGGUGUGAAAUCUCGGAGCUUAACUCCGAAACUGCAUUCGAUACUGCCGUGCUUGAGGACUGGAGAGGAGACUGGAAUUUACGGUGUAGCGGUGAAAUGCGUAGAUAUCGUAAGGAAGACCAGUGGCGAAGGCGGGUCUCUGGACAGUACCUGACGCUGAUGCACGAAGGCCAGGGGAGCAAACGGG
rnacentral:rRNA from 1 species